rnacentral:rRNA from 1 species
CCUACGGGAGGCAGCAGUGGGGAAUAUUGGACAAUGGGGGAAACCCUUAUCCAGCGACGCCGCGUGAAGGAAGAAGGUUUUCGGAUUGUAAACCUCCGUUAGUGGGGACGAUAAUGACGGUACCCACGGAGGAAGCCACGGCUAACUAGGUGCAAGCAGCCGCGGUACUACGUAGGUGGCAGGCGUUGUCCGGAAUUACUGGGGGUAAAGGGAGCGUAGGCGGGAUGUCAAGUCAGAAGUGAAAAUUAUGGGCUCAACCCAUAACCUGCUUUUGAAACUGAUAUUCUUGAGUGAAGUAGAGGCAAGCGGAAUGCCUAGUGUAGCGGUGAAAUGCGUAGAUAUUAGGAGGAACACCGAUGGCGAAGGCGGCGUGCUGGGCUUUUACUGACGCUGAGGCUCGAAAGCGUGGGGAGCAAACAGGAUUAGAUACCCUAGUAGUC